AACUUGGUGCAGCGGCAGUAUCGUAGCCAACGAGGUUAUCCAAGGUGUGUCAUUGCUGAUGGAAACCUAUCCCAAUACCCCUCCAUGAUGACUUGAAGUAUAUAGUCGGCAUUGGCAGUUUUUGACAGUGUUACA